GUGAGGAAUCUUCCACAAUGGGCGAAAGCCUGAUGGAGCAACGCCGCGUGAAGGAUGAAGGUCUUCGGAUUGUAAACUUCUUUUAUGAGUGAAGAAUAUGACGGUAACUCAUGAAUAAGCACCGGCUAACUACGUGCCAGCAGCCGCGGUCAUACGUAGGGUGCAAGCAUUAUCCGGAGUGACUGGGCGUAAAGAGUUGCGUAGGCGGUUAUGUAAGCGAAUAGUGAAACCUGGUGGCUAAACCACACAGACUAUUAUUCGAACAGCAUAACUCGAGAAUGGUAGGGGUAACUGGAAUUUCUUGUGUAGGAGUGAAAUCCGUAGAUAGAAGAAGGAACACCAAGGGCGUAGGCAGGUUACAGGGCCAUUUCUGACGCUAAGGCACGAAAGCGUGGGGAGCGAACCGGAAUAGAAACCCGUGUAGUCC
rnacentral:rRNA from 1 species